GCGCUGGUGAUGUAACUGGUAACCAUCUGUGCUUGAGGUGCACAGGUCCGCAAGGACGUGGGAGUUCAAGUCUCCCCCAGCGCACCA
rnacentral:tRNA from 1 species